rnacentral:rRNA from 1 species
GACGAACGCUGGCGGCGUGCUUAACACAUGCAAGUCGAACGGAAAGGCCCUGCUUUUGUGGGGUGCUCGAGUGGCGAACGGGUGAGUAACACGUGAGUAACCUGCCCUUGACUUUGGGAUAACUUCAGGAAACUGGGGCUAAUACCGGAUAGGAGCUCCUGCUGCAUGGUGGGGGUUGGAAAGUUUCGGCGGUUGGGGAUGGACUCGCGGCUUAUCAGCUUGUUGGUGGGGUAGUGGCUUACCAAGGCUUUGACGGGUAGCCGGCCUGAGAGGGUGACCGGCCACAUUGGGACUGAGAUACGGCCCAGACGCCUACGGGGGGCAGCAGUGGGGAAUAUUGCACAAUGGGCGGAAGCCUGAUGCAGCAACGCCGCGUGCGGGAUGACGGCCUUCGGGUUGUAAACCGCUUUCGCCUGUGACGAAGCGUGAGUGACGGUAAUGGGUAAAGAAGCACCGGCUAACUACGU